CUCUUUUUCCUGUCAUGUGAAACAUGCCUGUUUCCCCUUUGCUUUCUGCCAUGAUUAUAAGUUUCCUGAGGCCUUCCCAGCCAUGCUUCCCGUACAGCCUUCGGAACUGUUUGACCACAUGAUUUGCUUUGGCAGAUGGAACGUUAGCAGCUGGGGACCUUUCUGCCACCACAAAAGCCUAGAUUAUCCUGAUGGACGAUGGAAGACACAUGGCUGUUGUUCCAGCUGACAUCAAGCCAACCACUGGACAAGAUAGGAAAGCUCUCCUAGAACACGAAGGCCCGAAUGAACUGGCCCAGAGCAGAGAAACUGCUCAGCCAAACUGCCAAGCUGUGAUUAACAAAGGCUUCAUCUUAAUCCACCAGAUUUUGGGGUGGUUUGUUACACAGCGAAUGCUAACUGAUACAGUCAUUAUCAUUAGGUCUUUCUUGAGCUGAUCAUACUUCCCAGCAUAGAAUACGCCAAUGUCCUGCUCCUUAUUCCUGGCUGCCAGCAUUGUAAGAGCUGAGUGGAAGGCUGGGGUUUUCAGCACUCAAUAUGUAAGUAUUCCCUUCAUUUUCUAAGCAAGUUAGGGCAAUUUAUGAAGCUUUAGAGGGCACACGGGGUCCACAUAGAAGACUGCCCUCAUUUCUGACAUCAAGUACAAGUUUGGAGGGUUCCCAAAACCACCCUCAGCUUCAACAAUUUGCUAGAAGGACUCACAGAACUCACUGAACGCUGUUGUACUCACAGUUAUGGUUUAUUACAGGGAAUAGAAUACAGCUUAAAAUCAGCCAAGGGAGGAGACACAUGAGGUGGAGACUAAGAGGGGCCCAAAUGCAAAGGUUCAGGUUGUCCUUUCCCGGUGGGGUCCUACACACUGUUAACUCCGCCCUCACCAGCAUUGAUGUGUGACAGCAUGCCCAGAGCAUCACCAACCAGGAAAGCCCACCUGAGCCUUUGGGGUCCAGAGUUUUUAUCCGGGCUUGACCACACACCGCCCCCAUGGCUGGCCUUUACUGCCCAGCCCCUCCUGGAGGCAGGGCUGAUACCUUUCAUCUCCAGUCCCUGGGAGAUUGGAACUGAUAGCAUGUGGCACAAAGCAUAUGUCAUGAAUCACAUUGUUAGGCUGUCUGGUGGCUAACCCCCCCCAAAGCAAAGACACUCCAGUUAGUCAGGACAUUCCAGGGGCCUAGAGAUCGCCUCCUAGGAGCCAAUGGCAAAGGCUGGACCUCUCUUUGGGCAAAAUCAAUUUUUCACUACAUAAACUACCCUCUGGCAUUUGGCCAAGGCUUUCUUAUACAGCAAAACAAUCGUCUUUGUUUAGGCAUCUAUAGUUAGUGUAGUGUUUAUUAGACAGAUAGAGCAAUAGUGGGCAACUCAUCUGUCCUAUAAAGCCAUUACAUACAUUUUCAUAUUUUUAUACUGUUAAUAAUUUGAUUACUCUUUUCCUCCCUUGAUCUGCUGUUAUUUGUACCUUCUGAUAAAUUUAUACUGAGCUAUUUAGCAUAGAAAUUAGGUAAUAGUCAGCUAAACCCAGUUCUUCCUCAGGCCAGUCAUUUUAUUACAACCUGAAGAGAAGUUUUAACUCAAUCUCUCAAUAUAUUUGAUCAUCAAUAUCAGCAUUAUUCUAAGACUUGUUUAUAUAAGGUAGUUGACUCUUAUUGGUAAUGAGGCCAGUAUUAAAUCACAUCACAGUAUGGUAACCUGAAAAAUAAAUGCCAAAAGAUAUCAUCACAUUACCAGAGUCCUACUUAGUCAUUAUCAAUUACUCCAGUUUCAUCAUAUCGUAUGACCAAAAUGUCCAUCAAUCAUCAAUCGAAUGACCAUCAGUCAUUAUAUCAUAUGACCAAAAUGUCUCCUGAGUGCUAACACUCAGGUUUGCAGACUUUCAUUCGACAUGGUCAGGUUGCGAAAGCACAUGCAGUCUCAGCAAUCCAUAGCUCUACCUUUUCAGGCAUCAGGUAUAUUACUGUGGUAAGAGACAGUAACAGCCAGGAGCGGUGACUCACACCUAUAAUUCCAGCGCUUUGGGAGGCCAGUGGGCGGAUCACUGGAGGUCAGGAGUUCGAGACCAGUCUGGCCAACAUGAUGAAACCCCGUCUCUACUAAUAAUACAAAAAUUAGCCAGGCAUGGUGGUGCAUGCCUGUAAUCCCAGCUACUUGGGAGGCCGAGGCAGGAGAAUCGCUUGAAUCCAGGAGGCAGAGGUUACAGUGACCCAAGAUCACACCACUGCACUGCAGCCUGGGCAACAAGAGUGAAACUCUGUCUAAAAAAAACAAAACAAACAAAAAAAGAGACAAUAUCAUCUCUCGCUCGGAGUCUUUCUUGAAGCGCCAAAGUAAAUGUCAGAUCUCCCUCAUGGCAUAAACCAUUUAUCCAUCCCUUUGCUCUUAGCUGCCUUUCCCCUUCUCUCUAUUUAUCAUUUCAUUUUUUCCAGCGUUUCCAUCUUUGGAAAGGACAUUAGGUUUGGCCACUGCGCCGGUAUAGACUGCCAGAAGCAAGCAUGGCGAAGCAAGGACUCCUCCCCGAGUCCUUUCCCACUUAUAUAGGAUAGGGGCACACAGGCACAGAACUAGUGAGCUCUCCCAACAACCAGGUAACACAGCUGCAUUCAACACUAACGCCAAUUUUGCCAGACGGUGAAGGCACAGCCCACACCAUCAGGCCCCCAGGAAUUCUGACACAAAGCUUUAAAGGCCUGGUUCUAGCUUCUUGCUUAGGGAUCAUCCCUCCUUCUGGCACCUACCAUUGCUGCCAUGAUCCUGGAGCCGCUGCAUCAGGUAGGAAAAACGGAAGGUGAAGUGACAUAGGGAAGAACUGUGUGGUCACAUUAGCAUCCCCCCAUCCCUGCCUCCCCAGAUCCCAUAGAAAAGUCGAGGACUGUGUCCAGUGUGCACUCUCUUGGGCUCCUCUUGUGGAGUGUGUGCAUGAAGGCGUGUGAGCCAGCCCUUCCCGCCUUUAUCACCCUGUUUUAGACAACGCAUGUUUCAAUUGCCUGUUCCACUUCUCUAUCAAACUUUUAUUCUGAGGGUUAAAGUGUGUUCCAAAGAAAUGUAAUUGCCUGAUCGGUUCAUCCUGCCUUCUGGCCAGAAAA
rnacentral:lncRNA from 10 species